UACGGAGGAUCCGAGCGUUAUCCGGAUUUAUUGGGUUUAAAGGGAGCGUAGGCGGGUUGUUGAGUCAGUUGUGAAAGUUUGCGGCUCAACCGUAAAAUUGCAGUUGAUACUGGCGACCUUGAGUGCAACAGAGGUAGGCGGAAUUCGUGGUGUAGCGGUGAAAUGCUUAGAUAUCACGAAGAACUCCGAUUGCGAAGGCAGCUUACUGGAUUGUAACUGACGCUGAUGCUCGAAAGUGUGGGUAUCAAACAGG
rnacentral:rRNA from 1 species